rnacentral:rRNA from 1 species
UACGUAGGGUGCGAGCGUUGUCCGGAAUUACUGGGCGUAAAGAGCUCGUAGGUGGUUUGUCGCGUUGUUCGUGAAAACUCACAACUCAAUUGUGGGCGUGCGGGCGAUACGGGCAGACUGGAGUACUGCAGGGGAGACUGGAAUUCCUGGUGUAGCGGUGGAAUGCGCAGAUAUCAGGAGGAACACCCAUGGCGAAGGCAGCAUACUGGUCGGCAUCUGACGCUGAGGCGCGAAAGCGUGGGUAGCAAACAGG